AAAAUUAUUGCAAUUAAAUCUUUGAAGCGUUUAUGAACACAAUUUUAUUUUCAGUUCUAUUGUUUCUUGUAUAACAGUCAUUUUUUAAUGACAAAUAUGAAACCCAUCUCAUUUUCCUUCCAUAGAAAGUGACGCUUUCAAAAGAGGUUGACUGAACGCAUAAAGCAGAAACCGAUAACCUGCAAGAGAAUUGCGCAUUCAUGAAUGCUCAAAACUGCAGAGUCACAGGGCAGCAAAUGAACAGGAUUGGCUUAUUUUAUUAUUAGAAUUUUAAAAUCAAGCUCACAUGUAACUCAUUUGUUGAACGAGUUACUCACUAAAUAAGAGGCUUGACUCAUCUCUUUCUGGCCAAAGAGUGAAAUCUACUUGCAAUCCACAGAAAUCACAUAAAAAGAAAGUUUGAUUGAAGAGUUAAAGCAGAAAUGAAAGAACUCGAAUGGCUUUCCCUUGAUUUUAUGCCUACAGAUUGCACAAAAAUAUGAGAAGCAUUAUCCAACACGACAACUUUAUACUAGAGAUUGGCAGGGGCCGCGCGAACGCAGGCCCCCUCUACCACAAAUUAUGACGUAGGCUCUCCCAACUUGGGGAGACCUUAGACCAGCACCCCUCCAAAGUGCAAUGAAGGUCACUGACCUAGGCCAUGAACCUUUUUGAUCAUCCAUUGACCCCGUCCAGGUAAGUAUGUUGAAAGAUGCUUCACGCUUCUUAUUUAUAGGCACUACACUUCACCUCUCCUUUCUAUUUCUUCGAUGUGGGAUUGUAGCUUUCCUUCAGUUUCUGACUCGGCUUCAUUUUUUAUUCACCUUUCUGAACACCGUCAAAUUGCCCAUUCCCUUAGAACUUGCGUAUCCAUUUUCAUUUCCUUCAUCGAUAGAGAAAGGGAGAGCUCGAUAGAGAAGUGUGGAUUGUAUUGGUUCAAAUGGCCUACUUUCUAGGAAACUCAACGCCCGUGCCUUUACUUUGCAGGAAGUCAAGGCAUAGGGCCAACCAAAUUAGCAGAAUUUUAGAAGUUCCUGAGCGGAGUUAUCCUAAUCAAACAAGCCCCCGUUUUGAUAUAUUUAUCCUUCGACGGACUUUUCAGGUGAACAAGGUUCAAAGAUCUUGUUGUUCUUAGUCCCCAAAUUGGCAUUUAUAUAGAGACAAAUUGUUGAAAAAGACCAAGGAAUAAAGAUAGUUCAUGCUAGAAAUGGCUAAGAUCACCAUCAAUGUCAAAUAAGUGAUGAACAGCUCAUGCUAAUGGAUUCCACUAGUCACCAUACCUGCAUCACAAAUUGUUUUGUGGAUCAAUCUAUGAGCCAUAGCUUGUAUCUGAUAAGAUGAUGAUGAAUGGUUGGAUGGAGUUGCUUCUAGUUCAAUGGUGUUGGGCUGUUGAGAAUAAUAUUGAUUAGCGAAUAAUGGAUCGGGGGAAAAUUUUGCUUAAA